AAAAAGGGCUUCUGCUAUGAGUAGCACAGUAAGACAGCUGAUUGCUCUCUCUGUGUGGAAUUGACAUCAGAGAUUUUGGAAGCAUAAUUUGUUUGGUAUCUGGGCAGCUAAUGAUCGUUUGUCCUGGUACCCAC